rnacentral:rRNA from 1 species
CCUACGGGUGGCUGCAGUGGGGAAUUUUGGACAAUGGGGGCAACCCUGAUCCAGCCAUUCCGCGUGAGUGAAGAAGGCCUUCGGGUUGUAAAGCUCUUUCAGCAGGAACGAAACGGUGGCCCCUAAUACGGGCUACUAAUGACGGUACCUGAAGAAGAAGCACCGGCUAACUACGUGCCAGCAGCCGCGGUAAUACGUAGGGUGCGAGCGUGAAUCGGAAUUACUGGGGGUAAAGCGUGCGCAGGGGUGUGAAAUCCCCGGGCUUAACCUGGGAACUGCGUUUGUGACUGUGGGACUCGAGUGUGGCAGAGGGGGGUGGAAUUCCACGUGUAGCAGUGAAAUGCGUAGAGAUGUGGAGGAACACCGAUGGCGAAGGCAGCCCCCUGGGUCAACACUGACGCUCAUGCACGAAAGCGUGGGGAGCAAACAGGAUUAGAUACCCCUGUAGUC